CAAUAGCGUAUACUAAUGUUGUUGCAGUUAAAAAGCUCGUAGUUGAACUUCUGGUAGGAGUGUCCCGGCCUUUUUGUUUUUACAAAUUGUAUGCUGUGUGACAUCUCUGGCCAUCCUUCUUCUUUGUUUAAAGAAGAUCUUUCACUGUAAAAAAAUUAGGGUGUUCAAAGCAAAAGUUUCUUUGGAAUAUAUUAGUAUGGGAUGAUAAGAUAGGCUCUAGAUGCUAUUUUGUUGGUUUGCACAUUUAGAGAAUGAUUAACAGGGACAGUUGGGGGUAUUCGUAUUUACAUGUCAGAGGUGAAAUUCUUGGAUUUCGGAAAGACGAACUACUGCGAAAGCAUUUACCAAGGAUGUUUUCAUUAA
rnacentral:rRNA from 1 species